rnacentral:rRNA from 1 species
UACGGAGGGUGCAAGCGUUGAUCGGAAUUACUGGGCGUAAAGCGCGCGUAGGCGGCUGAGUGAGUCGGUUGUGAAAGCCCUGGGCUUAACCUGGGAAUUGCAGUCGAUACUGCUCAGCUAGAGUAUGGGAGAGGGCAGUGGAAUUCCCGGUGUGGCGGUGAAAUGCGUAGAUAUCGGGAGGAACACCAGUGGCGAAGGCGGCUGCCUGGCCCGAUACUGACACUCAGGUGCGACAGCGUGGGGAGCAAACAGG